AUUGGUUCUCAACUGGAGUGAUUUUGUCCCUCAGAGACAUUUGGCAAUGUCUGAAGACAUAAAUUUCACAACUGAGCCUAGGGGUACUGUUGGCAUCUAGUGGGCAGAGGCCAAGAUACUGGCAACAUGAAGUAGAUACAGAUCAGGUUAAUCACAACCAUGAAGUCAACUGUGCUCCAAGUGUCCCAGAGACCUUCAACUCACAGAGGCCAUGAUCUACAGAGGGGGUAAAUGAAGCCCUGGAGAAACUGACAGAUUUCCUCCAAGUUUCGGACUAUUUAUAGAGAUGUCGAUGAAUGUGUGGUGGUGAAUGGAGGCUGCCAGCAGUGCUGUAUUAACACUCUGGGCACCUUCCACUGUGAAUGUGAUACGGGAUACAGACUCCAUGCUGAUGAAUGCACCUGCAUAAAGAUGGACCCCUGCACAGGUGGGAAUGGAUAUGCCCACAUCUGUCAGAGUGAGAAUGGUGUGGCCAGGUGUUCUGUCGCCCAGGGUACCAGCUGUCUGAAGACAAAAAGGCCUGUGGAGACCUUGAUGAAUGUGAGAGUGGAGAACGCUGCUGUGCCCAACUCUGUGUCGUCGUCGACUGUUUAGGAAGCUAUGAAGGUAACAGCCUUAGAUGAUGGCAAGCUGGAGGAAGAGCGGAAGAAUUAGAAGUUGUAAGAUGUCCAGGUCUUCGAUUCAAGAGCCCACCUCAACUGCUUCAUGAUGCCGCUAUCUCUGUGCCUCCCACGCACGAAGAUGAAGAAGAUGAUGAUGAGGAGGAAACACAUAUUUGAGGAGAACUGACUGCUUUGAGCAAAAUUAGUGAGAAUGAAGCAUCUCAUUUCCAUUUCCAGUGAUAUAAAUGGUAUGAACCAACUAAGAUGGUAUCAUCAUUCAGUGGGUGAAGAUCACACCUUCAGACACAAUAGCAGUGUGAGCUGUGAGGACCAUAGGAAAGGAGGCAGAUGCCUGGAAGGAAGGAGUGAGUGCUCUUGCCCAGAUGACUGGGGAGAUAAUCUUUGCAGCACACUUUUUCUCCAGAGACCCAUGGAAAAGUAUCUAGCAGCAUCUGUGAUUGUCAGAAUGGAGGCACCCAUGAUCCUCUGGACAGUGCCAGUACUUCCCCCUCCAAGAGUUCCUGGGAAAACCUACUGUUUAUAGGAGGUAGCUGGUGCUAGUCACAUGACAUAGCUCCUUAACUUCUUGAAGCUUCUAAUAAGAAAUAAACUAAGUGAAAAUUACAUCUAAGGGCACUUGGGUGGCUCAGUCAGUUGAGUGUCAACUCUUGGUCAAUUCUUGGUUCUGGCUCAGGUCAUGAUCUUAUGGGUCAUGA